rnacentral:rRNA from 1 species
GACGAACGCUGGCGGCGUGCUUAACACAUGCAAGUCGAACGGAAAGGCCCUGCUUUUGUGGGGUGCUCGAGUGGCGAACGGGUGAGUAACACGUGAGUAACCUGCCCUUGACUUUGGGAUAACUUCAGGAAACUGGGGCUAAUACCGGAUAGGAGCCCCUGCUGCAUGGUGGGGGUUGGAAAGUUUCGGCGGUUGGGGAUGGACUCGCGGCUUAUCAGCUUGUUGGUGGGGUAGUGGCUUACCAAGGCUUUGACGGGUAGCCGGCCUGAGUGGGUGACCGGCCACAUUGGGACUGAGAUACGGCCCAGACUCCUACGGGAGGCAGCAGUGGGGAAUAUUGCACAAUGGGCGGAAGCCUGAUGCAGCAACGCCGCGUGCGGGAUGACGGCCUUCGGGUUGUAAACCGCUUUCGCCUGUGACGAAGCGUGAGUGACGGUAAUGGGUAAAGAAGCACCGGCUAACUACGUG